UUGUGGUUAAAAAGCUCGUAGUUGGAUCUCGGCGGACUGAGGGCGGUUUGCUUGCUAGUAUUACUGCCCUAUAGUCCGUAGUUUUGCCAGAGGUUUCGGGGUGCUCUUAAUCGAGUGUCCCGGGAUGCUGGCAGGUUUACUUUGAAAAAAUUAGAGUGCUCAAAGCAGGCUAUUACGCCUGAAUAUUCGUGCAUGGAAUAAUAGAAUAGGAAGUCGUUUCUAUUUUGUUGGUUUUCGGAAAUCGACUUAAUGAUUAAUAGGGACAGUCGGGGGCAUUUGUAUUCAAACGACAGAGGUGAAAUUCUUGGACCGUUUGAAGACAAACUACUGCGAAAGCAUUUGCCAAGAAUGUUUUCAUUAAUCAAGAACGAAAGUUAAAGGUUCGAAGGCGAUUAGAUACCGCCCUAGUUCUAACCAUAAACGAUGCCAGCUAGCGAUCUGCCGACGUUUUUUUUGUAGACUCGGCAGGAAGCUUCCGGGAAACCAAAGCAUUUGGGUUCCAGGGGAAGUAUGGUUGCAAAGCUGAAACUUAAAGGAAUUGACGGAAGGGCACCACCAGGAGUGGAGCCUGUGGCUUA
rnacentral:rRNA from 1 species